rnacentral:rRNA from 1 species
GACGAACGCUGGCGGCGUGCUUAACACAUGCAAGUCGAACGGAAAGGCCCUGCUUUUGUGGGGUACUCGAGUGGCGAACGGGUGAGUAACACGUGAGUAACCUGCCCUUGACUUUGGGAUAACUUCAGGAAACUGGGGCUAAUACCGGAUAGGAGCUCCUGCUGCAUGGUGGGGGUUGGAAAGUUUCGGCGGUUGGGGAUGGACUCGCGGCUUAUCAGCUUGUUGGUGGGGUAGUGGCUUACCAAGGCUUUGACGGGUAGCCGGCCUGAGAGGGUGACCGGCCACAUUGGGACUGAGAUACGGCCCAGACUCCUACGGGAGGCAGCAGUGGGGAAUAUUGCACAAUGGGCGGAAGCCUGAUGCAGCAACGCCGCGUGCGGGAUGACGGCCUUCGGGUUGUAAACUGCUUUCGCCUGUGACGAAGCGUGAGUGACGGUAAUGGGUAAAGAAGCACCGGCUAACUACGUG